AUACGGAGGGUGCAAGCGUUAAUCGGAAUUACUGGGCGUAAAGAGUACGUAGGUGGUUUAUUAAGUCAGAUGUGAAAGCCCCGGGCUUAACCUGGGAACUGCAUUUGAUACUGGCAAACUAGAGUAUGGUAGAGGCGGGUAGAAUUCCUAGUGUAGCGGUGAAAUGCGUAGAUAUUAGGAGGAAUACCAGUGGCGAAGGCGGCCCGCUGGACCAAUACUGACACUGAGGUACGAAAGCGUGGGUAGCGAACAGGAUUAGAAACCCCGGUAGUCC
rnacentral:rRNA from 1 species